rnacentral:rRNA from 1 species
GCUUACGGCCAUACCAGCCUGGGUACGCCCGAUCUCGUCUGAUCUCGGAAGCUAAGCAGGGUCGGGCCUGGUUAGUACUUGGAUGGGAGACCGCCUGGGAAUACCAUGUGCUGUAAGCA